rnacentral:rRNA from 1 species
UACAGAGGGUGCGAGCGUUAAUCGGAAUUACUGGGCGUAAAGCGCACGUAGGUGGCGACGUAAGUCGGGUGUGAAAGCCCCGGGCUCAACCUGGGAAUUGCAUUCGAGACUGCAUUGCUGGAGUACGGAAGAGGAAGGCGGAAUUCCCGGUGUAGCGGUGAAAUGCGUAGAUAUCUGGAGGAACACCGGUGGCGAAGGCGGCAUCCUGGACCGGUAUUGACGCUGAGGCGCGAAAGCCAGGGGAGCAAAACGGG